AUUGAACGCUGGCGGCAUGCCUUACACAUGCAAGUCGAACGGCAGCACGGGUGCUUGCACCUGGUGGCGAGUGGCGAACGGGUGAGUAAUACAUCGGAACGUACCUUAUCGUGGGGGAUAACGCAGCGAAAGCUGUGCUAAUACCGCAUACGCCCUGAGGGGGAAAGCGGGGGAUCGCAAGACCUCGCGCGAUUAGAGCGGCCGAUGCCUGAUUAGCUUGUUGGUGGGGUAAAAGCCCACCAAGGCGACGAUCAGUAGCUGGUCUGAGAGGACGAUCAGCCACACUGGAACUGAGACAAAGCCCGGACUCCUACGGGAGGCAGCAGUAGAGAAUAUUGGACACUGGGUGCAACCCUGAUCCAGCAAUGCCGCGUGAGUGAAGAAGGCCUUCGGGUUGUAAAGCUCUUUUGUCAGAGAAGAAACACCGGCUCUAACACAGUCCGCGAAUGACGGUACCUGAAGAAUAAGCACCGGCUAACUACGUGCCAGCCGCCGCCGUAA
rnacentral:rRNA from 1 species